CAGACAAUAUUUAUUAACACAGUUCCGUCAACGUUACCUCCCAAGUGUACUACUUGACCUUAGGGUAUCUUUAUACUAAAAUAGGAUAUUUCUACAAAGAAAUAAGCUUGAAUAAGUAUCUUGUUCAACAUUAAUCUCAAUUCUAACGUGGUAUCGUGUUAGGAUUUGACGUAAUACCGACACUUGUUUAAUACACAAGUUGGAAUUAAUCACAUAUGAUAUGAAAACGGCCACCAUUCAUCAUACAAACAC
rnacentral:lncRNA from 1 species